UUUGUAAUAUGACAUGUUGUCAAGCCAUGGUGACAUUUUCUUGACAAAGUGCUGGUUCAUCUAACUAUAGUUAUAUUUUUAAUUAUUAACCAGUUCCUUUUUUUUUUCUUUAGAACUAAGAAAUUACAGAGAAUGCUGACAGUAAGGUUUCCAUGCCACAAAAGCCAAAAGGUAGAUUUAAAGGAGUACAAUGCAUUAGCAAAAUCUCUCACUCCUUUUUUUUUAAUAAUUUCCUAAUAAUUUGAAUAAUCUACAAAUUAACUUGAAACUGUCUGGAGCUAAUUUGGGUGAUUCAUUUCAUGAAUUAUAUUUUAACAAUGGUUUCACUUUGUGUCAUGUCUUUGUGUCAAGUAUUUUUCCAGCAAAAUGUCAACUUUGCAUCCCUCUACAUUCUGUUGUGCCUGAUGCCAUCAUAUUUUCUCAUAUCAGAGUUUUUGAAAUUGGCCAGGCAGUUCCAGACAAAAACACAUUUGUAGCUGGGCCCGAUGACAGAAGUAGCUGUGGCUUCCAGCUGUGUGUUAACACAAUAGCCUUAACUCUUUGGCCGGACUCUGGAUGGGUCCCUGGGGAACAGCUCUGCUUUUUAAAGGUAAGUAAUAUAUAUCCAGAAAAUCAGCCAUAAAGGGGUCCCUAUUCCCUCCCACAAAAGCCACCUUGGCCGUUGUCAGAUGCGGCACUAGCUUACUUUGAGUCAAUCUGGGCGGGGUUUAGUUAGAACACCUGACCCAGAAUGACUGGUAAUGUGACUCUAGUUUAAGCCAGAAACACUGAUAUCAUAGGAUGUUUAACAGUUGUGUAGAGGUUGUGGAAAGGUUGUGGAUUAGCUAUGCUUGUAGCAGCUCAUAUCAGAAGAUCAUUUCAUUGUAAAAGUACAAUGUGUCGAUGUCGAUGAAGUGUGAGGAAAUCCUGGACCUGGUGUGGUCUUAAUUUUGGUUCAUUGCUCAUACCAAUUCUGCAUGUGUUUCUGUGGGUGUGUAUAAGUACUGCAUACGUAUGUAUGUGUGUAUGUAUGUAUAAGAUAAAAAAGUUGUUUUAUUCAGUAAGGACACAUUACAUUAAAAUGGAAGUAAAUACUGUAUAUUAAAGCAUAUUAAAAUGCAACAGUUUUAACAGUUACUUUAAAUUGUAACAAAUAUUUCACAAUACUGUUUUAAUUGUAUUUUUCAUCAACUAUAUACAUUUAACAUAUAUUAUAUAUGAUAAAUGUAUAAUAAUUAUGGUAAUGUAAAGCCACAGGAGCAGUCCCAGGUAUCACAAUGAGGAAUGCUGUUUGUAACUGUUCUGGAAAACAGCUGAGAGGAACACAGCGGAGGACAUGAGACGUUUGAAGAGCUAUCUUAAGUGGUGAUGGGGAGGUGGAGUUUCCAGGAAGAUGGACAUAAACCAAAGCAUCGCUGACAACAUUAACAUGACCUGCCACAGCAUCGCAGUUUUAAGCUGAAAUUACAUAUAACACACACACACACACACACACACACACACACACACACACACACACACACAAGAUGACAUACACCCUUACAAAUAUGUCCACUGUGCAAACAUAUUUGCUGUUAUAUUGAAAAAUGCUCUAAACUUGACAGUGAAACACUUCCUUUUUUUCCUUGUCCUUUUUUGCACUUAAAUUCUGAAGUCUCCCUUUGAGAGCUAAAAUGUGCAAGUGCUCUCACUCCAAGCCAACAUCUCUAAGUGUUACAUAUUUGUGGUUGCACUGGAAAACCACAAUUUAUGAAUUUUGUUGAAUUACUGAAUGUUGAGUAUUUGUCAACUUAGUUAAGUAAAUCUCAGACUGCCAGUGACCAAAGUCCAGACCUGAAGCAAGAACAAGUGUAGUUAUUUAAUUAGCACAGUUACCAAAAACUGUAUCCUAGGUCAAAUCUAUACUGAAGUGAUUAGGAUUUUUAAUUAUAAAUAAAGUCAAACCAAUAUUUAUUUAGACUCCUUCAACAUUUCACACAUUAUCACAGUUUAUUUGCUAUAGUUUAGAAAAUGGUAAUAAAAUAUGACAAGAACAAAGUGUCUGAAUAAUUUUGGUCCCAAAUUUUUAUCAGUUUUACCGGUAGUCCACUGUUUGAAGAAUUUUUGAGUAUAACAUGUCACAGUUUACUUUAUUUUGCUAUCCUCACUUAUAUUAAUGAACUGUAGUAUCCUGCACCCACUAAUACAAUAAUAAUAAUAAUAAUAAUAAUAAUAAUAAUUAUUAUUAUUAUUAUUAUUAUUAUUAUUAUUAUUAUUAUUUCUGGUGUCUGAAUAUUUUUUUGAAAAUAUUUAAAUGUUUUAUUAUUUAGAAGUUUUAUGUGUGUU
ensembl:lncRNA